CCGCGGAGCCGGAGCCCUUUCACUCCACGCUUUUUACAGCGUACGCACGCGCACGCUCAUCUUCUCGUCUCUCUCUCUAGCUCACCUGGCCGACUGGCAGCCACGUACACGGAGCCGCCGCCACCUGCCGCGACAUGGCCGUCCUUCCUUUCAGGCUGCGGCUGCGCACGGCGGCCAUUUCCGGCCCGAGCCCCUCGUCUUCUGUCGUCUGUCCUAGCAGGCAGCACAGAGACGGUGGCUCCUUCUCCUGCCGCGCCGCGGCGGCAGCCGGGGGACCGAUCAUCGUCUCCGGGGACCCGCCCACGUUCGUCUCCGCCCCCGGCCGCCGCAUUGUCGCUGUUGGCGACCUCCAUGGUGAUCUCCACCAAACGAGGGCUGCACUGGUGAUGGCCGGUGUCCUGAGCACGGAAUCAGAUUGUCAUGUAUGGACAGGCGGGCAGACGGUUCUGGUUCAAGUUGGGGAUAUCCUUGACCGUGGAGAAGAUGAAAUCGCAAUACUGUCCCUGUUGAGUUCACUCAAUGUGCAAGCAAAAUCUCAAGGCGGUGCUGUGUUUCAGGUAAACGGAAAUCAUGAAACCAUGAAUGUGGAAGGCGAUUUCCGGUACGUCGAUCCAGGAUCAUUUGAUGAGUGUAUACGCUUCCUGGAAUACUUGGAGGAAUUUGAUGGCGAGUGGGAUGAUGCUUUCCUCAACUGGGUUAAUGUUUCUCAAAAGUGGAAGGAAGAAUAUCGGGUGUCGCCUAAUGGUGACUGGCUUCCUUUGAACUUUGUCAAGAAAAAUAAAGGGUUCGCUGCAAGAGCAUCACUUUUUAAGCAAGGUGGACCAUUAGCUUGCGAAUUGGCACGACAUCCUGUUGUCCUGAAUGUCAAUGACUGGAUGUUUUGCCAUGGUGGCCUUCUUCCCCAUCAUGUUGAAUACGGGAUCGAACGCAUCAACAAGGAAGUAUCGAAUUGGAUGCAAUGUUCAAGUGAAGACAUCGAUGAUACCGAUCUCCCCUUCAUAGCUACCAGAGGAUAUGACAGUGUAGUAUGGACUCGUUUGUACUCUCAAGAUUCAGUCGAAAGGACGCGGCGUUCUUGGGAUCUAUCUUCUAUUAUCGCUGAACAAACAUUGAAAUCUGUUGGAGCUAAAGGAAUGGUCGUCGGACACACUCCCCAGACUCGUGGAGUGAACUGCAAAUGUGAUGGUAAAGUUUGGUGUGUUGAUGUGGGCAUGUCUUAUGGUGUACUGCAUUCGAGACCAGAGGUCCUAGAAAUAGUCAAUGACAGACCAAGAGUUAUAAAGGGCCAGAGGGGCUCAUAUGAUGAGAUGGAAGUGCUGGACUAUUUAUGAUACCUCGAAAUUUAUGUAUAUAAUAGGCAGCAUUUUACUGGGAAAGAUAUUAUACAAGACAGUUUUGGGUGGACACCCGGUUGACUAAAUUCUUCAGGACAUAUAUACAUCAAAAGAUACCAACCGGCUUUCCAUAACGUGCUUUCCAGGACUGUUCACUCAGUCUUACAUCGCAAAGCAUCGGCUUGCUAAUGAGGCAAGGGACAUAAUAAUAAAUUAUGAGCAACAGCACUGUUAUCAUCUUCAAGUGUUCAUCAAGAAGGCGAAGGACAGCCGGGCACUCAUCCAUAGGAAUUGGAGUGAAGUUGUGUGUGCCAUACGCAUGGAGGAGACCACACUAUGGGCAUUUCGCUUUUUCUGCUUCGCCAACAACCCAGCAGGUCUUCACCUAGAAUGUUACCGUCUAUGAUGUUGAUGAUGUUAAAGAUUUUAGAUGUCAAAUGAGUACUGCUACUGUGCCACUUGUAUAUGUAUGCUAUGGUGCUAUUGUGAUAUCCAUUAAUUAUGCAAUGGUGGUUGACCAUUUGUUA